rnacentral:rRNA from 1 species
GACGAACGCUGGCGGCGUGCUUAACACAUGCAAGUCGAACGGAGCGAAUGAAAGCUUGCUUUUAUGAGCUUAGUGGCAAACGGGUGAGUAACACGUAGACAACCUGCCGACAGGAUGGGGACAACAUUCCGAAAGGAAUGCUAAUACCGAAUGAAGCGGAGGAGAGGCAUCUCUCUUCCGUGAAAGAUGGCCUCUGAACAUGCUAUCACCUGUCGAUGGGUCUGCGUCUGAUUAGCUGGUUGGUGAGGUACCGGCUCACCAAGGCGACGAUCAGUAGCCGGUUCUGAGAGGAUGAACGGCCACAUUGGGACUGAGACACGGCCCCAGACUCCUACGGGAGGCAGCCAGUGGGGAAUUUUUCCGCAAUGGGC